UUUUUAUUUUUCAUGCCUAGAUACAAGUAAUUAGCCUUAUAUUAGAAUAUUUUCACACAGAGUGAACUUCAUACAUUGAUUGGCAUUUGAUACGUUGAUUCCAGAAGUUCCGGUAUCUUAACCAAUCAGAAAAGAUCAAAACGUGGUCGAAACUAGAUUCUUCUUUCAUAUAAUGAGCAAAGCAAACACCGGGCCCAAUAUGCAGAAGAGAGAAACAACCGUCACUAUUAUAACUGUUUUGAAAAUAUUACUGCUUGGAUUUAUAUUGACAAUGACGAAAAAAACUGCGUCAUCAAUUGCGUCAUCAGGAAAGAAAAGUAAUAGAGUCGGUCUUGGUUUCGGGAUCCUGUGAGCUACGAAUGUAGAUUCAGCUUUGCUGUAAAACAUGAAACUACGUUUACUUGCAAUUCACGCAAAGAGCAGAAUGUAUCCAACUGCAAAUUAAUACUUUUUCUUCUGCCAAAAUAAAAGCUUACUGAACUUUUUCUUUGUUUCUUUAUUUUGUUGAAUUUAUUGCCAAGUUGCUUACUUUUUGUUGAAUAUUUGUAGAUUUAUCACAAAAUGAAUUUUCAUUUAUAUUUACCGUGCUACUUUCAGAAUGUUAAUAUCAAAACAUGCUUUGUGCAGGUAAAUAAA